AUAAAUACAAGAAUACUUAAUUCCAUGGGUUAACAUUGGAAGUCUGAGCUUUCUGGAGAUUUUCCGUAUCCAAAUACAACGAUGACGAUGCGACAACAUACUCUGAGAGUUCGGAGGUCUAUUUACACGAGUUCGCAAAUAUAGCCAUAGGUAUCGAAGCCAACCGAAGCGAAGAAUUGAUAAAUUAGUUAUUCCCUCAGUCUGCUGCUGUUCCUCCAGAAUUAUUACAGAAAUAUUAUAAGUAUAUAUCUGUAAUUUUAUCAUCAAGUUGUGGUGAAUCAUAUGAUUAAUCAUGAAUUCUUUAAUGGUACCUGUUGUUUCUCUAUAUCGAAUAUUACAAGACUAUUAUAAUUCGGAAUUAAUAGGAAGAUAACAAGUUACUAAGAUAAAAAAGUCACGUCCAAAAUGGAGACAACUCGACUAAAUUGCAACGUGUCUAAGGAUCCUCCGUGUUCGACCACAGAGAGACCCGUAUCCGCAUCUGCGACGGUUUGAAUUGAAGAUUUUUGCGGACGGUAACUCGUUGGCUCACGCGCUAACGUAUUUGCAAGAUCCGCUGUGCUGAUGGACAUAUAAUGCGACGUGUGAUUGUAGGCCCGCCAAUCGCGGCCGAUUGUGCCUCUGAAGGCCCGCUAACUAUCUCAAACUAGCCCCAUUCAAACCGCCACGACCUCUCUCUAUCCAUCUCUAUCCACCAACCCGGCCUCUGUAUCUCGCUCGUUUCAACCCUUAUUCACCACCACCUCCCGGCACCCCUGCGCCUCGUUCAUCCCCUUCGAAACUUCGCAUCUUCGUUGCUCCCGCUUCGUGUCUCGUUUCCACCGACUUCGCAUUCCGAUUUUCCCUCCUCUUCCGCGAAAACUCCGUCCUCGUUUCGAAUUCGAGUUGUAUUUCUUGCCGCACGUUUCUUCUGCACGGCGCACAUCCUUUUCUAAUUUUCGACUGCCUCUUUCACCGCACACACCGUAAUCUUCUAUUUUAUUCGCUAUAUACCCUUCCUAAUGCGAUAGCUAGGUCCAUAUAAAUACACGGCCACGGCUUCACCUGUUUCCUAUCUCGCCUCACGAAUCGAAUGUUUUACCUCUCAUUUAAAAUUCUUUAUCUCGCUCCCUCCAUUCAACACUCACCGUAGAGACAUUCUCGUUUUUCACGAUUCUUUUCGCUUAUUUAAUCCUAAUGUAUCUAUUUCCUUUUCGUAAUAUUUAAUCAUGUAUCUCAUUUAAUUCGGUUUUCUUAACAAGUAACGUUUAAAAAUCUAAUUUGAAUGAAAAGAUAAUGAUAUUUACUUUUUUUCAAGUAGAUUUUUAAUCUUUUUCCUUUUUUUUCGAAGU